rnacentral:lncRNA from 1 species
AUUGUUGGUGGUGGAGGGGGCACCCUGUAUAUUGUAGGACGUUGGGCAGCAUCUCUGACUUCUACCUACUAGAUGCCAGUAUCUCAGUUUUCUUAAAAGACUUUUUUUUUUUUUUUUUUUUUUUUGAGAUGGAGUCUUGCUGUGUUGCCUAGGCUGGAGUGCAGUGGCACCAUGUCGACUCACUGCAACCUCCGCCUCCCCGGUUCAAGCGAUUCUCCUGCCUCAGCCUCCUGAGUAGCUGGGAUUACAGGUGAGCACCACCAUGCCCAGCUAAUCGUAAAAGACUUUUCAUAAAACUUCAGAACUCCUUAAAAACUAGUGAAUAGCCAAGGUGAAGAAAGCCCUCAGGCUUCUGACUUUAGACCCCAAUCCCUGGGACUCCCACACUCAGCAAAGAAAGCUGGGUGCCUGCACCCUGGAUCUCUGAGCAAACCUGUCUUAUGGCUGUGGGCAACUCAGGAACAUGAAUUAGCACGAGAAUCUGGAGUUUUUCUUUCCUUUUCUGGGUCUCACUCUGUCACCCAGGCUGGAGUGCAGUGGCGCAGUCAUGGCUCCCUGUAACCUCAACCUCUCAGAC